rnacentral:rRNA from 5 species
AGAGUUUGAUCAUGGCUCAGAUUGAACGCUGGCGGCAGGCCUAACACAUGCAAGUCGAACGGUAACAGGAAGCAGCUUGCUGCUUUGCUGACGAGUGGCGGACGGGUGAGUAAUGUCUGGGAAACUGCCUGAUGGAGGGGGAUAACUACUGGAAACGGUAGCUAAUACCGCAUAACGUCGCAAGACCAAAGAGGGGGACCUUCGGGCCUCUUGCCAUCGGAUGUGCCCAGAUGGGAUUAGCUAGUAGGUGGGGUAAAGGCUCACCUAGGCGACGAUCCCUAGCUGGUCUGAGAGGAUGACCAGCCACACUGGAACUGAGACACGGUCCAGACUCCUACGGGAGGCAGCAGUGGGGAAUAUUGCACAAUGGGCGCAAGCCUGAUGCAGCCAUGCCGCGUGUAUGAAGAAGGCCUUCGGGUUGUAAAGUACUUUCAGCGGGGAGGAAGGGAGUAAAGUUAAUACCUUUGCUCAUUGACGUUACCCGCAGAAGAAGCACCGGCUAACUCCGUGCCAGCAGCCGCGGUAAUACGGAGGGUGCAAGCGUUAAUCGGAAUUACUGGGCGUAAAGCGCACGCAGGCGGUUUGUUAAGUCAGAUGUGAAAUCCCCGGGCUCAACCUGGGAACUGCAUCUGAUACUGGCAAGCUUGAGUCUCGUAGAGGGGGGUAGAAUUCCAGGUGUAGCGGUGAAAUGCGUAGAGAUCUGGAGGAAUACCGGUGGCGAAGGCGGCCCCCUGGACGAAGACUGACGCUCAGGUGCGAAAGCGUGGGGAGCAAACAGGAUUAGAUACCCUGGUAGUCCACGCCGUAAACGAUGUCGACUUGGAGGUUGUGCCCUUGAGGCGUGGCUUCCGGAGCUAACGCGUUAAGUCGACCGCCUGGGGAGUACGGCCGCAAGGUUAAAACUCAAAUGAAUUGACGGGGGCCCGCACAAGCGGUGGAGCAUGUGGUUUAAUUCGAUGCAACGCGAAGAACCUUACCUGGUCUUGACAUCCACGGAAGUUUUCAGAGAUGAGAAUGUGCCUUCGGGAACCGUGAGACAGGUGCUGCAUGGCUGUCGUCAGCUCGUGUUGUGAAAUGUUGGGUUAAGUCCCGCAACGAGCGCAACCCUUAUCCUUUGUUGCCAGCGGUCCGGCCGGGAACUCAAAGGAGACUGCCAGUGAUAAACUGGAGGAAGGUGGGGAUGACGUCAAGUCAUCAUGGACCUUACGACCAGGGCUACACACGUGCUACAAUGGCGCAUACAAAGAGAAGCGACCUCGCGAGAGCAAGCGGACCUCAUAAAGUGCGUCGUAGUCCGGAUUGGAGUCUGCAACU